UGACGCUCAGGAUUCAUCCGCAUCCUUGGAGGCUGAGGUAGCUCGGCUUGCACCUCCAUCAGUAUCUCCCCCUGGAGGCAUUUAGAGGUGUAUAAUUAGUGUACUGCCUUUGAGGUGAAUUAUUCCUUCAUCCUUAGGAGGGGACCUAUUCUGCUGAUUCCCUGGUGGAGAUCGGGUCCGACGAUGGGGGGAGUCCUGGAUUUUGGGCGACCAUCUCCAAGGCCCCCAGUGUUCAGAGG
rnacentral:lncRNA from 1 species